UCCAAAAUGCGGAUUAUUACGUACUAACAUUAAUAUUAAUAUUAUAGUCCGGGACAUUUCUAUAUGAGAUACGAGAUAUAGUCCGGGACAUUUGUAUAUGAGAUACGUCAUAGCGCAUACGUUGAAGCGAGACUAUAUAGAGCACAAAAACUAGAUAAGAGCUCAAAUUUAGGGAACUUGGUUGUUUGAUGUGUUUGACAGUAAAGUUCAGCAAAACGUACCAAAUGGAGAAACUUUCAAAUGCUUUGAAGUACCGUUGCUGGAUUACUGUUGAGGUUAUGUUUGACCUUGGUAUGACUUUCAGGUUUAAAGUUGAAAUUUGCAUUAAAAAUGCCAUAAAAGCCUCGAAGUGCCUUUUAGGGUAGUCAUCGUCAUGUGCCAAUUGCAUGCCCCCUCUCUGCCACAUCAGUAAAAUUUGCCACAAAAGUUUUAAAAAACGACUUUAAACAACAAAAAAGGCCCUAUUUUCAUUAACAAUGAGACAUAUCUCGCUGCAUGCGGCACGACAUAGGCCUCAUAGAUCAAUCUCAUUGUGAAUGGUUUUCGCUGAGAUCACUUUGAGAGGGCUUCACUGAGACUGACGUUGGUGGAAGGCUGAAACCUGCCUCGCGAAAGUCUGCACCAACAUUCGAAAACGCUGUCAAUGGCUUAAAAUGAUAAAUUGUGUUAGUUUUUUUGUGUCUUUUAGGAUUAGUCUUUGAGUCCUGUCGCGCCGCAUGUAGCGAAGCAGAUCCCAUUGUGAAUGGGUUCUUUAAGAAACAGUUUCAAUGUACACCACAAGACAUACACUGAGACGGCCUCAUGCCUCAUAUCAUGGCUUGUAAUUGACAGCGUUUUAUAGAAUGAUUUGGAAUCAUAGUGCAGAGAUUGUUGCGAGACAGGCAGGCAGGUCUCAAGCCUACUGCAGAUGUCGCUCUUAGUGAGUCCAUGUCUUAGAGAUGCAAGACCAAUUUAGACCAGUGAGCUUGGUGCCCGAGACCUAUGUCAUGCAGGAAGCCAAACUUCAUCGUGAAUGGACCCUUUUCAAUGGGGCUGUGCUUUUUGAAUAAAUUUGAAAUGGCCUUUUUGAAAAAAGCAGUUGUCUCUCUUUUAUUCAUCUAUUCGACACGUUUGUAUUCGAUGCACUUACACCAAUUUCAUUAUCAGUGUCUUGAUUAUCAGACAAGGGCAAAGUGGAAUUGGGGGCAACCCAGAAAUAAAAACACUUUAAUUUCCUUUAUUAGUAGGCUAUAUUUUUUAUACAAGACGACUACUCUCAGAUAGAGACGUACAAAAAUGUAAACAAGAGGAAAAGUUGGUUUUUCGCAAUAUUUCACACUAUUCUUCCACACGUCCACAGUAAAAUCAGAAAGCGCUUCUUGUUAUAAAGCCCUUAUUAUGUUUUUCGACGAUGGCUGAGACUUUGUGACGUAUUUGUUAAACGUAAGUUUUCAAAUACCCCAUGCCAGUGCAACGGAGUUAUAUUAACAAUUUUAUGGGAUUAUUUUUAACUUUACACCCAUUCUGCUUGAAACAAGAGUCGCUACCAGGAAAUAACAACGAAAAAAGUGGACCCAAAAGGCUUCAGCUGCAAAUUAUAAACACUAUCUGUGAUUUUUUUAAUAAUUAAUUAAUAAAUGUCGUGAACUUA